CGACCCACAGGUUGAGAACUGCUUGUCUAGAGGGUGGUUUUUCCAGGGUGAGGCUUGUCUGUUGCACUCCAGAUGUGCUGACCCUUGCGAUUUCCCCAAAUGUGGGAAACUCGACUGCAUAAUUUGUGGUAGUGGGUCACUAUUUUUACAUUCUCGCCUG